UUUUUUUCUUUCAUCUUUUUUUAAUUUAGAAGCUCAGAAUCAAUUGCUUUGCUUUCCUUGGCGAGAGUCAUUUUGGGGAACAGGCAUCAUCAUGUCUGUCAGCAGCAGCAAAUAUGAUCAUUAGGCUUUAAAUUGCCCUUACAUACUGGGUCGUUUCCUCGUGCAGUUGGAUUUAAACUUGGUUAUUACACUACAAAAUGGAAUGUGUUAACUUUGCUCAAGUUCAGCUUGGAGUUUACAUCAGAGUGCUGUGAUUAUACAGUAUUUGGACUGAAGCUGAAAUUGACAUUUUCUUAGAAUAUACGAAGAUUGGAUUAAACUACUUCCCAAAAUAAACAAAGACUAGGAAAACCCCAAUCAGCUUAAAAGUCUAAAAAUAGACUUUUGACAUCACACACAGAACUUAAGAUACAUGCAGAAGCACUGAUGCCCAAUCCAUAGCCACAGCAGGUGCUGCCCAAUGAUGAAAGUCAGUGCCCAUACCUACUAGCCCAAGAUCCUCGAAAAUGUUCACACUCAUUGGAUACUCAGCAAUCUGGACCUGGGAGUUGUUUAAAGUAGAUAACAAGGAGGGGACUUCUUGCUAUAACAAGUAUCAGAUCUGGUUUUGCCAUUUCUUUCCUUUCCCAGUUUUUUUUUUUUUUUUGGGGGGUGGGGUUGGCCACAUCCACAGCAUAGGGAACUUCUAGGGCCAGGGAUCAAAUCUGAGCCACAACUGCAACCUAUGCCACAGCUGCAGCAACACCAAAUCUUUAACCCAACUGCACCAGGCCAGGGAUCAAACCUAUGCCUCAGCAGCAACUUGAGCUUCUGCAGAGACAAACUGGAUCCUUAACCUGCUGUGCCACAGUGGGAACUCUACCUCACCCAGUUUUGAUUUUAUAUGUAAACCUAGAAGUCUACCAAUUACAAUUUUUCUCGCAUAACAGACCAUGGAUUCUUCACUCUGUUGGAAAUAAGGAGACCAUUCUAACAAGUUCCAGGUCCAUGAACACCCACAUAUAAUUAGUUAAAAUUGAGCAUUCACUGACUGAGAAAUGUUAACAUGCUUACGGACGACUAGAUCCCUUUUAUAAUUCUAUAUCCACCACUACACAUCCUACUUGCAUCCCUUCUACCCCUGAUAAAGAGGUCUAUGACUCAGAGGCUGUGAGUCUGUAACCUAAUAUAUCCCAUAAUUUUAAAAAAAUGUUAAAGGGAGGUUUUGAAAAAAAUAAAUGGAGGAUGCUUUCUCCACUUCAUGAUUUUUAAAGCCAAGGUUAACUACCAUGACUAAUUCACUUAAUUGAUUUCAAUUUAAUACAACAAAUAUCAAGAGCUAUCUAUAAGCCCAAAUCAAUGCUAGUGCCCGUAUGUGCCUGAGGGAACCAGAAAGCAUAGCCCCUGUUCUUUUUGAGCCAUCAAACUAGAAGGGGAUACUGCAUUAAGCAUAUUUGAACAUAUACACGUAAUUAAAUAUCUUCACCAGCAUUGUGGCCACUUAACACAGGAUUUCUGGGGCAUAUAAGUCAGGAAAAAUGUAUGCGCUUGGAGAUGAUGGAAAGCUGGAUCCUUUAGUAAGUGAUAAGAUGAAGAGUCAGGGACCCCGUAAAAGUCUUGCUAUUUGGAAGAUGAAGAGUCAGGGACCCCAAAAAGUCUUGCUAUUUGGAAAGGAGAUUUCAUAGUAACCACUGAAAGUCUCUUCUUCUGUCAUGAGUUAAGGAAAAAGAACACGAAGGGCAAAUAUUUCUGAUUUUGUUUUUAAUCCCUACUGCCAAUUUAUCAUACCAACUUUAUAACCAAGGUGGAGGAAAGGAAAAAAAGAAAGUUUAUUUCUCAUUUGGACAACGUAAGUCUAUACAUUCUCUUCUAGAAAGAAAUCAAACACGAAAGAAACGGGGUAUUUUUAAAAGUGAUUUUCACGCUUAGUAAGAAAAUCACAUCUGGGGUGUCAGCCAGGCAUAGACCUUCCAGUGACAGUGGCCUAAACACUCAUCACCGAGUUCAUUUUAACUAUAGUUUUCUAAUAACAUGGAAUGGCAUACUCUAUGGAGAAAAAUCCGAGAAAUCUUGAUUAGAAAGUCAUUGAUACCAUGUGUGCUCUUUUCCUCCAGUUUAGCUUAAGACCUUUGAAAGCUUGUUGUUGCUGCAUAUCAAUGAAGAAUUUCUGACAUUUUGAGACUGCAGAGUAUAAUUUAUCCUGUUAUCUUUUGCUGUUUGGAAAUUGAAGAUCUCACUUUUGAGCUUGGGUAUGCAUAAGGCUUAAUUCCUUUCAAGUAUCUACACAAGUUCUAACAUGAUGCAACCCAAACCCUAAUUGCUUACAACUGACCCU
ensembl:lncRNA